AACGAACGCUGGCGGCAGGCCUAACACAUGCAAGUCGAACGCUCCGCAAGGGGAGUGGCGCACGGGUGAGUAACACGUGGGAACCUACCUUCUGGUACGGAACAACCAAGGGAAACUUUGGCUAAGACCGUAUACGACCUCCGGGUGAAAGAUUGAUCGCCGGAAGAGGGGCCCGCGUCCGAUUAGGUAGUUGGUGAGGUAACGGCUCACCAAGCCUUCGAUCGGUAGCUGGUCUGAGAGGAUGACCAGCCACACUGGGACUGAGACACGGCCCCACGACUCCUACGGGAGGCAGCAGUGGGGAAUAUUGGACAAUGGGCGCAAGCCUGAUCCAGCCAUGCCGCGUGAGUGAUGAAGG
rnacentral:rRNA from 1 species